rnacentral:rRNA from 1 species
CCUACGGGAGGCAGCAGUGGGGAAUAUUGCACAAUGGGGGAAACCCUGAAGCAGCAACGCCGCGUGAAGGAAGACGCCCUUCGGGUUGUAAACUUCUGUCCUUAGGGAAGAAUAAUGACGGUAGCUAAAGAGCAAGCCACGGCUAACUACGUGCCAGCAGCCGCGGUAAUACGGAGGUGGCAAGCUUUUUCCGGAAUUACUGGGUGUAAGGGGUUCGGAGGUGGGAAGUCAAGUCGGGGGUGAAAGCGACGGGCUCAACUUGUUGAGUGCAUUUGAUACUGGUUUGCUGGAGUGAAGUAGAGGUUGGGGGAAUUCCGGGUGUAGCGGUGAAAUGCGUAGAUAUUAGGAGGAACACCGGUGGCGAAGGCGACCCACUGGGCCGUAACUGACGCUGAGGCUCGAAAGCGUGGGGAGCAAACAGGAUUAGAUACCCGGGUAGUC